rnacentral:tRNA from 1 species
GGAGAAAUGGCAGAGUGGUCGAAUGCACUGGUCUUGAAAACCAGCGAGGGUAACACCUCCGGGGGUUCGAAUCCCUCUUUCUCCGCAA